rnacentral:rRNA from 1 species
CAAUAGCGUAUAUUAAAGUUGUUGCAGUUAAAAAGCUCGUAGUUGGAUUUCUGAUCGAGACAUCAGGUCGGGUCCGAGAGGAUCAUGUACUUUGAUUUGUUUUGAUCAUCCUUGGGGAGAGCAUUUCUGGCAUUCAGUUGUCGGGAUUGGGAUCCUCAUCGUUUACUGUGAAAAAAUUAGAGUGUUCAAAGCAGGCCUCGGCCUCUGAAUACAUUAGCAUGGAAUAAUAAGAUAGGACUUUGGUGGUCUAUUUUGUUGGUUUGCACGCCAAAGUAAUGAUUAAUAGGGAUAGUUGGGGGUAUUCGUACUCAAUUGUCAGAGGUGAAAUUCUUGGAUUUAUGGAAGACGAACUACUGCGAAAGCAUUUACCAAGGAUGUUUUCAUUAA